CCCUCCGCUUCCGGAGGUCGCCUCAGCGUGGUCCCAGAGAGAAGGGGCGGGGCCUUAAUCACGCCAGCGAGGAGGCGACCAAUGGUGGCUGAGUUGGGCGGGCUGCGAAAGUCUGGGGCUCAGGCUUCACCCCGCGGCUGGAAAAGAAGGGGAAGGGUACUAUGUCUGUGCAGCAUCAGCUUGGGAGUCAGAAGGGAAGUGAUAUGUGUGUCUUGUGAUAGGCUGGCCAAGGACCAAGAGGAAGGAGAGCUAAAAUGAGAAGCCAUAAGAAUUUGGAAGGUGCCUCGUCAGAAGACACAAACACAAGCCAGACCCAGGAAGAUUGGAAGGGAGGGUGUGCAAGGCAGAAAGAUACACCAGCACCUGCCAUGAUGCAUCUUGGCUGAGAAAUUUGAGCCAGGAACCUCCCCUUCCCACAGGCUACCCACUGCAGCCCACAGUGGAAGGAGACCCUAAGCUUAUUUCAACCUCCAUUCUGGGACAUACAGUACCUGCAUGGGGGAUAGGACUUCCCCUACAAAGCAGAUUCAAAGAUAAAAUUAUUAAGAAGUUCAAGAUGGCAAGUGCAGAGCAUUAAACUCCAAGCAAGAGGCCCUUCUGAGCAUUGGACCCUGUGUGAUUGCCUUGAUCUUAUACUUGGUCGGACUGUGGUGAGGGAGCCAGCAGCCCUUUGUUAGUUUAUCAUGUUGCUGGAAACCAGAAACAGCAGUGAGAAUGGACUUUAAAAGCAGCCUCUUGAAGACUCUUAAAUAUGGAGAACAAACAGAGGGCUACUGGAGGGGUUGUGGGAGGGGGGCGGGCUAAAUGGGGAAGGGGCAUUAAGGAAUCUACUCCUGAAGUCAUUGUUGCACUAUAUGCUAACUAAUUUGAAUGUAAAUUUAAAAAAUAAAAUUAAAAAAAAAAAACCAGCCUCUUGAUAACCAUGUGACCUCAGGCUAGUUAUUUAAGUUUGGACAUCUGUGAAAUAUGGCUGAUAAUGGGUUGCUUCAGAGGGUUAUUGUGGGUUGGCACAGCACUGGCACAUAGUAUCAGUUAAUCAUAUGAGCUAUUGUUAUUAUGACAGGGUGUAGGCCAUCAUCAGUGGGGAGCUGAGGCUGGUGGUUAGAAUUGUGGAUUUGAAUGUCACAUCCCUGUGGUAAUGAAGAGUGAGGAAUUAAUAUGGUGUAGGGAGGGGUCCUGACAUUUAGGGGUUAGUGGACAAAGAAAGAAAAGGAGAGGGAGAGGGAGGAUGUAUCUCAGGAAGAGAUAGGGCCACAGAGCCAGGGGAAAGGAAAGUCUCAAGAAAAGGAAGGGGGUCAUCUGCAGAACCAGAGGCUCUGGAGAAAACAAAUUUUUGUUUUUAAUUUUUUUUUUUAGCAGUCAGAUACUCCUUGGUGAAUUUAGAUCAGUUUUAGUGGAGAGGAGGGGACAGAAGCCAGAUUAUAGCCAGUUGGGAAAGAAAGAGGAAGUAAAGAAGUAGAGACAUGUAUAGACCUUUCUUCCCAAAUAUUUGGCUGUGAAAAGAAGGAAAGAGAUUAAGGCGAUGGCUGGGAGAAGUGUCCAGUCAGAAGAAACACAAGUGGGUUUGUUUCAUGUAGGUAGAGAGCCAACUCCAUCUCUCCCAUCUCUUUCCCCUUCCUUCUUCCCUUCUCCUUCACCCCUUUCCUCUUCCUUCCUCUAGUUCUCUUCUCUAAGCUUAACUUUGGAUCAUUCUGCAAAUGAAGCAGGUGACUAGGAAGCUCUGGGAGAGAGUGCAGCCAACUUGAGGAAGGCAGGGUGAAAGGGGAACCGCACUUGCCCUGAGGAGCAGAGCAAUGGGGUCCCAAGCCCAGGUGUGCCUUGGAUCCUUGCCCGUUGUUGCAGGUGGGGAGGAGCCGUAUCAGUGUAGGUAGGUUUGCGAUGGGGAGAAAUGGGG